AAAUUGAAGAGUUUGAUCAUGGCUCAGAUUGAAUGCUGGCGGCAGGCCUAACACAUGCAAGUCGAACGGUAACAGGAAACAGCUUGCUGUUUCGCUGACGAGUGGCGGACGGGUGAGUAAUGUCUGGGAAACUGCCUGAUGGAGGGGGAUAACUACUGGAAACGGUAGCUAAUACCGCAUAACGUCGCAAGACCAAAGAGGGGGACCUUCGGGCCUCUUGCCAUCGGAUGUGCCCAGAUGGGAUUAGCUUGU
rnacentral:rRNA from 1 species